AUUGAACGCUGGCGGCAGGCCUAACACAUGCAAGUCGAGCGAGCGGCGGACGGGUGAGUAAUGUAUGGGGACUGCCCGAUAUAGGGGGAUAACUACUGGAAACGGUGGCUAAUACCGCAUAUUGUCGGAUAACCCAUAUGGGAUUAGCUAGUAGGUAGGGUAUUGGCUUACCUAGUCGACGAUCCCUAGCUGGUCUGAGAGGAUGAUCAGCCACACGGGGACGGAGACACGGCCCAGACUCCUACGGAGGCAGCAGUGGGGAAUAUUGCACAAUGGGCGCAAGCCUGAUGCAGCCAUGCCGCGGGUAUGAAGAAGGCCCUAGGGUUGUAAAGUACUUUCAGUCGGGAGGCGUUACCGACAGAAGAAGCACCGGCUAACUCCGUGCCAGCAGCCGCGGUAAUAC
rnacentral:rRNA from 1 species